UAUUGUUAUUUAGAAUACAUUCAAAACUUUUUAUCAGGGUAUAUGAAAAACAUAGACCAAUUUCUCAGUCUACAAAAGGUGCACAGGGUAAUAAAAUUUGGAAUGGGGUGUGCACAUAUCUAAAAGAUCAGCUACAACCCCUUUCAAAAAUUCAAUAAUGAUCCUUCCGCAGGUUCACCUACGGAAA
rnacentral:misc_RNA from 1 species